CAGCAGCCACGGUAAUACGUAGGUGGCAAGCGUCGUCCGGAAUUAUUGGGCGUAAAGGGCUCGCAGGCGGUUUCUUAAGUCUGAUGUGGAAGCCCCCGGCUCAACCGGGGAGGGUCAUUGGAAACUGGGAAACUUGAGUGCAGAAGAGGAGAGUGGAAUUCCACGUGUAGCGGUGAAAUGCGUAGAGAUGUGGAGGAACACCAGUGGCGAAGGCGACUCUCUGGUCUGUAACUGACGCUGAGGAGCGAAAGCGUGGGGAGCGAACAGGAUUAGAUACCCCCGUAGUCCCUGUCUCUUAUAC
rnacentral:rRNA from 1 species